UAAUAACUCAAUUCAAAAAUUAAAUAUUAAUUUAAACAUGAUUUUUUUAAAGAAAUAAUUACAUAAAAUUGUUUUAAUAACUAAGAAUCGAACAGAAACCGUACCGAAUCAAAACCUAUACAAUAAUUUCGGUUCGAUUCUAGUUUCUAGGCAAACCUUGAACCAAUUAGAACCGAGCACCCCUAGUUGCAGCCGGCAAACAAGGUUGUUGCCACUGUUGCAGCCACAACAUAACAACGUAUUACUAUUGGUAAAAGAUAAUUCCGUGUCUCACAUAGCUAACAGGUGAAUUAGUUUGCAUCAACUCCUACAACAGGAAUCCCCAUUUGAAAUGCCCUUAGUAUCUAUAUACCUGCAGGUCAUCUCAUCAAUUAAGGUAGAAUAUCCAAUCCAAUUAAAGCCUCAUUAAUGAAAAGACAAUCCGGAAAGUUAUUGGGAUGAUAUCAAUUUAAGCGGGACUUCCAUUGUUUGGUUUAAAGAAUGCACAAGAAAGGAAUGACAUUUCUUAAGAUGUAUUUCGAUUUAACAGAGAGAAUGUCUUUUCAACUUGCCAAUGAAAAUUCUAUCAUGUAAUGACAAAACUGUGAUUAUAAUAACAGUACUUAAUAGUAAAAUUAGCCCAUCAACAAAAUUGAAUUGUAUGUAGCUGUUUAUCUGAUGAUCAACACUAGACUAGUAGCGCUACUUUUUCUUUUAAAUGACUACAGAAACAUAAAUCAACUAAUGAUUCAAGAGACAGCUGUCUAGGUGAUACACAACUGCAUCUAUAAAACUUGAACAGGAAGAUGUACCAGGACCAAGCAUGAGAUGAACAGCAAUUCAGAACACUUACACAGCAAUAUCCACUUAAACAGGAUGGCAAUAUCUGCUCUACAAUAAACCAAAGCUGUGCAUCCCUGGAUGUUAGCAUAUAACACAGGAGCAUUCUCAACAGUUAAUUAAAUGAUAGAAGAGUGAUAGACAUACUAACGAUAUUUAACCUUGAAGAAUCUAUCUUUCCCAAUAGAGUGCGUAUAAAUUCUCUGCAAGACACCCAUUAAACCUUUGUUCCUAAAAAGCCUUAAGAAUAACAGACAAAUAAAUUAGUUUCGCCUUUUCUAUUUUAUAGAGCUUAUAACCAGGGUUUAACAAUAUAAUUGGGCUUAUUAACGCCGAAUAAGCUCGGUAUUUGCCAGUUUUGGUCUAGUAAAGCAGGGUCCUUGGAGCUGUCAUUGUAUGAACACUAUGCUCCAGCGUUUCCAUUUGGUUGUUUUAACACUCAACUUCAUGUACUUGCAUUUCUCAAAGCCAAUUCUAACAACUAAUUUAUACAAUGUUUGAAACCAGAUAUAUUAUUCUUGUAGAUAUCUUCCCCAGAAAAUAUCUGAACCAUUUAGAUAAAUGGGAACACUACAGCCAACAGUAAACAGACUUCAAGAGAAUUGUAAAUGAAAAGCUUGGUGAGGUCAAGGUUAUGUAUAUGUCUCUCAGACAGUGCACGUUCAUGUGAACAACUAUGCUUUACAAAUUCUAGCAUAAAUGCCAAAUGAGGGGAGAAAUUAUGUUACCUGUAAGGGGAGUUUAAAGUUCAAACCAAGCAAUUAAUUUUGUAGUUGGAAUUAAAAUCAGCAGAAAAAAUCAGCAUUUCAUAACUUAUUAACACCAAGAUCUCAGCAAUUCCAAGUGUAGAAAAUAAAUAUACAGGAACUUUUACAACGUGCAGCUUUUUACCUUCCUAACAAGCUAGGCAAAUUAUUCCUGCAAAACUGUUUCUCAAAAUUUCUCCUCAUCAGCUAAAAAUUACAGAAAAUGCUGAAAACUAUGCUAAAAAUACAACAAGGCAACCAAACAUAGACAUUAUUUUCUUUUGUACCUUUUGAUUGGUUGCUGUGAAAUGUGGUACACCAAAUCAACAAGAAGCUCAAAAGCAGAACCUCCUCUUCUGAUUCAAACUCAUAGUGUAAGGGAUGGAGUUUAAUCUGAUAGCAGGAAAUUGAUUCAUAAACGCUAUGAAAUGGUGUUGAAUCUUGAUUAAGUCAUUUGCAUGCAAGCAUAAUAAAUGCCUAUCUUCUUGGACCCUUUAAAAGCAGGAAUAACCAAAUUAAUCACUUCAGAAAGACAACUUUCCACAGGAGCUUUAUUCUUCAAUUACAUGCAUAAUUUUCUCCAGCAGCAAUGGGCAGUCUUCUCCAAGCUGCUGUGGGUUAAGCUCCAUCGCAACUUUGAAAUCCAUUAAAGAUAUUGAGAAGUGGUAUCUCUGUUCUUGCACUUCAUCUAAGACUCUACCACUACUUUGCACCUGCAUACUAUGGCCUGGCCAAAACCCAUUAACAAGCUUCAUACAAGAAUUUUGCUUUUGGCUAUUUUUUGUCACCAAAUCACAUCCAUGCCUUGUACCCACAAGUUCAAUGCAAGACUUGAUCAGCCCUUUCAAGUAAGCAUCUAAGCCAAAGUUCAGCAAAUUGGCAGAGUCCAUUGACACCUCAUCCAGGCCCUGUGCUACAGCAAUUUGUUGCAUUCUUUCUCUAAGCAACUGUGAGUCCAGCAAUCCACCAAUAUCAUAUGGACUAGUGCAUCUAUCAUUGCUUGCUAAAGGCAAAGGUUUGCGGGCACCACCCACACUGACACUGCAAAAGGGAAUUCCAAGUGGAGCCUCAAGUGAACUUACAGCAGAUAUCUCUUUUCUAUCUUCAUCCACAAAUAUUUUACUCUGUUCUUUACACUGUAUAGAAAGUGAACCAUCUGUUGACCGCUUUGCAAGCAGUAAUUUGUUCGGGUGGUGAAAUAAAACAUCCCCUUCUGUGUCUCCUUUUUGCGAGAGUACUUGAUGAUGCUGCACCGGCUUUGGUAUGCCAUCUUCUGAAGCUCUGUUAUCACUUGUAAUGGUUGAUAGAUGAGAAGCAAAAUCUGCCUUCCCAUUUGGAAAAGUGUGGGACCCAUCACUUGCAGAUGUUGCAACCUCCUUAUCACGAUUCAGUGGUGGGGAGAUUUUGGCAUUACAAGCAUUUUUCAAGAUUGAACAUAUAAAUUCAUUAUGUAGUGGAAUAUUCUCUCUUCCAAGAAUCCGAAAACAUAGCUUAUUGAACUCAACCUUACUUAGCUUCAAAUUCAAGAAUUUAUUUAAAUAGUAUAAGUACAGUUUUGUCCUCUCCACCCCAAUUUUCUUGACUAUCUGAGUUUUCAACUCCGCGAGAUUUACCCGCGAUUGCUGAUUCCUCCGUUGCAUUUCUCACAACAUAGUCAACAACAGUAAAAUUAACAAAAUUCGCUACUGUAAACUCAAAACCCUAACUAAAUUAGGGUUAUUUCACUCUGUUUCCAAAAUCCCAUUUUCCACAUCCCGAAAAUGAACAUAGCUAUAACUUCAAGAAAACCCAUCAAUGCCAAUAUGGAACACAUCUUUUUAACAUGGCAGAGGGUUCAACAAACGGUAGACUACAACUCUCCCUCCCAAAAAUUCAAAUUGAGAAAACAAAUCAAAACCCUAGCCAUCUUCAUAACUAGAGUUUGUAACUUCACAAAAUCCUUUAUUCCUCCAAUUUCAACUAGCUAAUUUGUCAAGAUAACCUCAAUGUAACUGCACCAAACUCCUCCUUUAUUCAAAGAAGCUAAGAGCAGAGUUUAUUAUCCGUUGAUUGAUAGAGAUCAGCCCACAACCAUUUAGAGCUCAGAGCUUUCACUUGACGGAUUUUCAAAUUGAACUACAAAUUGAUGCGAGAGAGAGAGAGAGAGAAAGAG
rnacentral:misc_RNA from 1 species